GUGGCAGAGAGGAAAGGGAACUCGAUCGGUGCGGUGUCGGAGCUCCUCGCGUGGAGCACAGGUGCCGAUGUUAAUGCUGUGUACCGGAGGUGGUAAAAUAGAGGCACACGGUGUAAUACUGGCUGCCAGAAACCCUGUUGUCACAGCUGUGCUGGUGUCGCAUGACGCAGCAGAAACUGCCAGUGACUGUGUCCACAUACUGGACAUAGAGACCACCGCUGUGAACCACCUUGUCCGUUACGUGUCUGUGGUACAACUAUUGGCAGCUGCAGACAAAUAUGACCUCCAUCUCCUUAAGGAGCCUCGUAAAGACAGUACUUGGUUGUAAUGGCCAACAAACUAGCAAAUGUCUGAAUGAUGGAUUUAAUGAAAGCAGAUGAGGAUUCCCUCUUUUAUGGGUCUACAGAAUGAACAAUGAAUGUAAUUUGAUCUGAUCUCGCGGGACUCUCUGGAUGUGUGGAGGAUGAAAGACUGGUGAGACGGGGUGGCCAGCUGCCCACAGAUUGUGGCAGAGGUGUUCCAGUUAGUGGAAACAAAAAUCAGGCUUACGAGAACUUACUCAAACAAUGAAAAAUCCAGGAUGGAAUGUAACAGUAUUACAAAAAGGAAAGUUGUUACCUUAUAGCAGAGAUGCUGAGUCGCAGAGAGGCACAACAAAAAAAAAAAAAAACUGUCACAAAGCUUUCGGCCAAAAAACACACACACACACACUCUCUCUCUCUCUCUCUCUCUCUCUCUCUCUCUCUCUCUCUCUCUCUCUCUCUCUCUCUCUCUCUCUCUCUGCCAGCAGCAGCAGCACCAGUGUAUGAUGGGAGUGGCGACGGGGAGGGAGGAGUAAGGAGGAGGCUAGGGCAGGUGUGACGGUACG